ACUCAGCCAACUCAGCCACACAAUAUGGAAUCCAAUAACACAAUACACACAACCAACUAAAGGUAGACGUGUAAUCUAACUCCCCACCCAUUUUCUUUGCUUUAUUCUCACAUCUUAUAUCUGGCUUGAGCUCCUCACAGCCACCCCCGUGUAAUGCAAUAAUCCUGUGUAAUCUUCUUUUCUUUCUCCCAGAACCCACCAUCAAGAACCAAGAAAGAAAACCCUAGACUACUUGAAGAAUGAAGUCUUGUCUUCCAUUAGAACCAAGCAAAACUCAUCACCAACUUAUCCAUAAUAAUCACAUUGAAACACAGAGUUUCUUGUCCUAUGAACAUCAUCAUCAUUACCAAGAAAGUGAUGCGAAGAAGAUUACUGAUUUAAAAUGCAUACCCUCAAAGACUCCGACCCUCCCAGUACUCCGUCAGGCAGGAGAUGAUGCAAUGAAGGCGGUUAGAGAAGAACAGUUAUUGCAGGAUGAUUGUGGACGUGAAAGGCUCAAGAGACAUAGGAUUGAGGCUGCAGGUAGUGUUUGGAUCCCUGAUAUUUGGGGUCAUGAGGAGCUUUUGAAGGAUUGGAUUGAUUGUUCUGUGUUCGAAGCUUCUUUAAUGCCUAACAGGAUUAUGUGCGCUCGUGCAGCUUUGGUUGAACAAGGAAGAAGAAGAACUUCCUGCACUCCUGGAAGAUUAAGAAUAGAAAACAGGUGUUGAUCCAUUAUGAUCAUAUCAUUGUUUUGAUAUUAUUAGUUGGGCGUGGGGGGGAGUGUCGGGGUGUGGGGUGGUGGUGAUAUGGUUAUUUAAUUAUUCCCUGAUUAUUAUGAAAUUCAAUUACUUUGUUUCUAAGAAUGAGAUUUUCGAAUUAACAGAUGAAUUGAGAUUACUAAAAUCUGUAAUAGAUGGAACGAAUUGUGUCCACUCCACCUGAGCUUGGUUUUGAGAUGUGGACCAUGUGGACCUGAGCUUGAUUAGAUAUUGAACCGGAGCCACAAAAAAGCAGCCUCCACAGCUGCUGCUUCUAUUUCAGGUUUGGUAUGAUGUAAUUGAAUGUAAUAAUAAAAUUAAAUUUCAAUAUUUUUUUAUUGAAAUUUCGUUGUGAUUAUAAUUCAUCAGAUUCAAUUAUACUACCAGAUAAAAUUACAUCCCCUAUCAGAAAACCAGCCCAAGAACCAUAUCGAUCUAAUCUGAAUAGGAAGUCCAUGAAUCUGAACCAAUCCAAUUCGGCUCAAAUCAAAUAAGCAAUAAAAAGAAAAAAAAAAUCAAUUGAUUUGAUUAGAGUCGAACUAAAUUCCAAAACUUUUACAAUCAGGCCUCAAUUCCAUGGUUUCGGAGAUGGAACUGGACAGACCCAACCAGGACUGAAAUUUUGAUCCGCAGAGUGUUAAAAACUGUUGACAUGAUUCAAUUGUUAAGCUCAGGGCUGCCCACCAUACUUUUACAGAAUGAUCUCAGCUGAGAAGGAGUUGGAUGUCCUGCAUGUGCUUCUUCCCUACGUUCUAGUGCUUUAGAUGAAAGGGAUUCCGAUAACUGUGGCUGAUGCCUGGGCUUGCCGCUGAUCUUCGGGCUGUGUUUUAUGGUUAGGUACCUCUUUGAGAUUUUAACGAUGCCACAUUCAAUAUGCGAGCAUUCGACCUUUUACUGGAGCCUAAAGGAGCUUUGCCGAUUGCCUAUUGAUUCUUUGUGUUAUUCUGUCCUCUCUUCGGUCACAUUUGAUUGUAAUGGCUAAAUCCUUUUCAGACUUCAUCGAUUGUUCUCUUUGUAAAUGUAAUGGAUUCUCUUAUUUAUGUUCUUAAUGUCACAUUGUCA
rnacentral:misc_RNA from 1 species